AGAGUUUGAUCCUGGCUCAGAACGAACGCUGGCGGCAUGCCUAACACAUGCAAGUCGAACGAAGCCUUCGGGCUUAGUGGCGCACGGGUGCGUAACGCGUGGGAACCUGCCUUUAGGUUCGGAAUAACUCAGAGAAAUUUGAGCUAAUACCGGAUAAUGUCUUCGGACCAAAGAUUUAUCGCCUUUAGAUGGGCCCGCGUUAGAUUAGAUAGUUGGUGGGGUAAUGGCCUACCAAGUCGACGAUCUAUAGCUGGUCUGAGAGGAUGAUCAGCCACACUGGGACUGAGACACGGCCCAGACUCCUACGGGAGGCAGCAGUGGGGAAUAUUGGACAAUGGGCGAAAGCCUGAUCCAGCAAUGCCGUGUGAGUGAUGAAGGCCUUAGGGUUGUAAAGCUCUUUUACCCGGGAUGAUAAUGACAGUACCGGGAGAAUAAGCUCCGGCUAACUCCGUGCCAGCAGCCGCGGUAAUACGGAGGGAGCUAGCGUUGUUCGGAAUUACUGGGCGUAAAGCGCGCGUAGGCGGCUAUUUAAGUCAGGGGUGAAAUCCCGGGGCUCAACCCCGGAACUGCCCUUGAAACUGGAUAGCUAGAAUCCUGGAGAGGCGAGUGGAAUUCCGAGUGUAGAGGUGAAAUUCGUAGAUAUUCGGAAGAACACCAGUGGCGA
rnacentral:rRNA from 1 species